AAAUAAAACGGUCUAAAGAUGACUGAAGCCUAAUUAGUGGGGACGAUACGGCGCCGUUUGGUGUUUUUACCUGCACGGCUGCAAAGUUCUCAUCCUAUGUCCUCUCCCGCUAAGCUCUUGGACUUGUUUACCACUGACAGUGAAGACACAUUUCCAAGUUGCAACCCUUAAAACCCACACACUUAUCUCAUGGCUUAAUAGCAACGCCCAAUAGUUGAUAUUACUUGGGCAACGAAGAAGUUGAGCUCUUGGUAGCUCUGUCGAUGGCGUCUCUUUCUUUCACUCACUUUCUCCUCUUACCCAGGUCCUUGGUGACUUUUGUUGUUCAUGGAUGUGUCUUGCUGUCAUUGGGAUGGUUGCGUUGUGGUGUUGUCGACCCAGCUUUUCUCUUUGGUUUUCGUUGUGUUUUUUACGCAAAUAUUGCAAUCUACCGUAGACGCCAUGAUUUUGUUGCAGCUUUUGGUCCACGCAUAUGGAAUUCGCUCCAAUUUAGUGUUUGGAGUUGGAAAAGUGAUUGUUGCUGGUUUGUGUGGGAUCGGGUUUAGCCUGUGCAAAAUAAGAGGUUAGUCAUGUUGGUGCUAUGAGUCUCUUUGGUUUGCUAGAGAGGAAGUGGUGCGGUGUCCUUGUUUCUGUGUUUUUUUUAGUCUAAUAAUUCUCAGAAACUCAAUAGGAGUUUGCUAUUGUAUGUAUUUCGUGUUCGACUUUUCGAUGUAGAUUCAUCGUUACUGCCGUUGCGCGGUGGAUUUGUAUUGUAGGUUACAGAUAGUUCUUGUCUGCCAAAUUGGAGUUUUUAAGUUUUUCUGGCAUACGUAAUUCUCUCCAGAUCAAACCAAUUUAUCUUUUUGUUUGGUCACUGGAGAUGUUGUACUCAUAUUUAGUAUUGCGAUUACUCUGUACUUUUUUAUGUGUUA